AGGAAGAAGAUAAAUAGGAAAUAUUAUUUAGGAGGAAGUGGUGGGGAUUAUAAAGUGAUCAGGAGUCAAGAAGGAAGGGUCUUGGCAAUGCAGGGGACAUGGAGCCGAGUGAGAAGAGAAAGAACUGGCAGGAAAAAGAGGAGA